CUUCGUUAUGAAGCAAAUUCCCGAUAGGAUUCACUUAAUUGUGAAGAUGCCUUGUAACCGCAACUACAAAACUACUACUAGAGUUUCGACUAGAAUAUGGGGGAAUUAA
rnacentral:sRNA from 20 species